GGAGGGUGCGAGCGUUGUUCGGAAUCACUGGGCGUAAAGGGCGUGUAGGCGGUCCGCUAAGUCUGAUGUGAAAGCCCGGGGCUUAACGUUGGAACGGCGAUCGAAAAUACCGGGCUCGAGGGCGUGAGGGGUCACUGGAACUCCUGGUGAAGCGGUGAAAUGCGUAGAUAUCAGGAGGAACGCCGGAGGCGAAAGCGAGUGACUGGCGCGUUCCUGACGCUGAGGUGCGAAAGCUAGGGGAGCAAACAGGAUUAGAUACCCUGGUAGUCCUAGCCGUAAACGAUGGACACUGAGUGAAGGAGGGCUUGCCCUUCUUUGCUGCAGCUAACGCGUUAAGUGUCCCGCCUGGGGAGUACGGCCGCAAGGUUA
rnacentral:rRNA from 1 species